AUCGCUUCUCGGCCUUUUGGCUAAGAUCAAGUGUAAAAUCUAUUAAAUCAUUAAGUAAGGAUUAAUUUACAAUUGCACCAAAA
rnacentral:snRNA from 1 species